rnacentral:rRNA from 1 species
GAUGAACGCUGGCGGCGUGCCUAAUACAUGCAAGUCGAGCGAACGGACGUGUUGCUUGCUGCACUGAAGUUACCAGCGGACGGGUGAGUAACACGUGAAUAACCUACCUAUAAGGCUGGGAUAACUGCGAGAGACCGGAGUUACUGCCGGGUAAUACUGUGAACCGGAUGGGUCAAGAAUGAAAGGACGUCUUGCGGUGCCUUCGAGAUGGAUCCGCUGUGCUGUGGCUAGGUGGUGGGGUAACGGUUUACCAAGGCAACGAUGCCUAGCCGACCUGAGAGGGUGAUCCGGCACACGGGAGCUGAGACACGGCCCAGAGACCGAGGGGAGGCAGCAGUAGGGAAUGUUGGGAAAUGGGGGGAAGCAUGAACGAGCAAUGCAGCGUGAGUGAAGAAGGUCUUCGGAUCGUAAAACGCUGUUCGGAGGGAAGAACAGAUGUGCUAAUAACUAUGCAGAUUAUGACGGUACCUAAUAAGGAAGCACCGGCUAACUACGUG